AUUGAACGCUGGCGGCAUGCCUAACACAUGCAAGUCGAACGGUAACAGGCCCUUCGGGUGCUGACGAGUGGCGGAUGGGUGAGUAAUACUUAGGAAUCUACCCUGUAGUGGGGGACGAACCCGGGGAAACUCGGGCUAAUACCGCAUACGCUCUACGGAGGAAAGCGGGGACCGGCAAGGCCUCGCGCUAUUGGAUGAGCCUAAGCCCGAUUAGCUAGUUGGUGGGGUAAUAGCCUACCAAGGCAAUGAUCGGUAGCUGGUCUGAGAGGACGACCAGCCACACUGGGACUGAGACACGGCCCAGACUCCUACGGGAGGCAGCAGUGGGGAAUAUCGGACAAUGGGCGAAAGCCUGAUCCAGCGAUGCCGCGUGUGUGAAGAAGGCCUGC
rnacentral:rRNA from 1 species